UACGUAGGGUGCAAGCGUUAAUCGGAAUUACUGGGCGUAAAGCGUGCGCAGGCGGUUCUAUAAGACAGAUGUGAAAUCCCCGGGCUCAACCUGGGAACUGCAUUUGUGACUGUAGAGCUGGAGUGCGGCAGAGGGGGAUGGAAUUCCGCGUGUAGCAGUGAAAUGCGUAGAUAUGCGGAGGAACACCGAUGGCGAAGGCAAUCCCCCUGGGCCUGCACUGACGCUCAUGCACGAAAGCGUGGGGAGCAAACAGG
rnacentral:rRNA from 1 species